rnacentral:lncRNA from 1 species
AAUCUAGUUUUUUUUUCUUGAUCUACCAAGGAGGGGUAGUUUUAGGGUCAAUUUUUGACCCAAAAUCACCCCUCAUAAUUGUUUUUCCUUUUCUUUUUAUUUAAAUAAGUGAUCUUCACAUUGAUCAAGUUUUUCUUUUGUGUUUUCUUUUUUGUGAUUUCGCCGUCUGAGUGCGGCGUUGUGUUGUUCGUCGUCUUGUGCGACGUUUU